AAAUUGUUCGCCAAACAACUACGAGUCCCACUUAAAACUUAAAAGACUUGACGGUACUUCAUCACGGCCUAGAGGAGCCUGUCUAAUAACCGACAAUCCACGAUUAACCCCACCCCUUCUCGCCCUACAGUCUAUAUACCGCCGUCGCCAGCUUACCUUGUAAAAGAGAAAAAGUGAGCUAAACAGUACUACGCUAGAACGACAGGUCGAGGUGUAACCUAUGAAAGGGACUACGAUGGGCUACAUUCUUCAACCGAGAACACGAAUAGCAUUAUGAAAUUAGUGCUUGAAGGCGGAUUUAGCAGUAAGAUAAGAAUAAAACACUUAACUGAACAUAACGCAAUGAAGUGCGUACACACCGCCCGUCACCCCUGUCACCACAACACC
rnacentral:rRNA from 1 species